GAGAAGAUGAGAGAGAGAGAGAGAGAGAAAAGGGUGGAGGAGGGCACGGGGCAUGGCUGCAGAGCAUAAGGCAGCAUACCUCCGCCACCUCGCUUCUUC
rnacentral:sRNA from 1 species